AUCCAGUCCCCUUCCUUCGGUGUUUGAGACCACUUCAUCUGGACCGAGCUAAAGUCUAGGAAGAAAUAAAGUUUCAAACCCAGUAGAGUUACCUCAAAGAUACACUUGAGACCCUUUUCAGAAGAUGGCACCGAAAGUGAAGAAGGAAGCUCCUGGCCCGCCUAAAGCUGAAGCCAAAGCAAAGGCUUUAAAGGCCAAGAAGGUAGUGUUGAAAGGUGUCCACGGCCACAAAAAAAAGAAGAUCCGCAUGUCACCCACCUUCCAGCGGCCCAAGACACUGAGACUCUGGAGGCCGCCCAGAUAUCCUCGGAAGACCACCCCCAGGAGAAACAAGCUUGACCACUAUGCUAUCAUCAAGUUUCCUCUGACCACUGAGUUUGCCAUGAAGAAGAUAAAAGACAACAACACCCUUGUGUUCACUGUGGAUGUUAAAGCCAACAAGCACCAGAUCAAACAGGCUGUGAAGAAGCUCUGUGACAUUGAUGGGGCCAAGGUCAACACCCUGAUGGAGAGAUGAAGGCAUAUGUUCCACUGGCUCCUGAUUAUGAUGCUUUGGAUGUUGCCAACAAAAUUGGGAUCAUCCAAACUGAGUCCAUCUGGCUAAUUCUAAAUAUACAUAU